UGUAGGACACUCUAUACGGAGUUACAAAGGACGACAUUAGACGAAUCAUCUGGAAAGAUGAAUCAAAGAAGGUAAUAAUCCUGUAGUCGAAAAUGUUGUCUCUCUUGAGUGGAUCCUGAGUACGACGGAGCACGUGAAAUUCCGUCGGAAUCUGGGAGGACCAUCUCCUAAGGCUAAAUACUCUCUAGUGACCGAUAGUGAACCAGUACCGUGAGGGAAAGGUGAAAAGCACCCCGGAAGGGGAGUGAAAUAGAACCUGAAACCGUGUGCUUACAAGUAGUCAGAGCCCGUUAAUGGGUGAUGGCGUGCCUUUUGUAGAAUGAACCGGCGAGUUACGAUUUGAUGCAAGGUUAAGCAGUAAAUGUGGAGCCGUAGCGAAAGCGAGUCUGAAUAGGGCGUUUAGUAUUUGGUCGUAGACCCGAAACCAGGUGAUCUACCCUUGGUCAGGUUGAAGUUCAGGUAACACUGAAUGGAGGACCGAACCGACUUACGUUGAAAAGUGAGCGGAUGAACUGAGGGUAGCGGAGAAAUUCCAAUCGAACCUGGAGAUAGCUGGUUCUCUCCGAAAUAGCUUUAGGGCUAGCCUCAAGUGAUGAUUAUUGGAGGUAGAGCACUGUUUGGACGAGGGGCCCCUCUCGGGUUACCGAAUUCAGACAAACUCCGAAUGCCAAUUAAUUUAACUUGGGAGUCAGAACAUGGGUGAUAAGGUCCGUGUUCGAAAGGGAAACAGCCCAGACCACCAGCUAAGGUCCCAAAAUAUAUGUUAAGUGGAAAAGGAUGUGGCGUUGCCCAGACAACUAGGAUGUUGGCUUAGAAGCAGCCAUCAUUUAAAGAGUGCGUAAUAGCUCACUAGUCGAGUGACACUGCGCCGAAAAUGUACCGGGGCUAAACAUAUUACCGAAGCUGUGGAUUGUCCUUUGGACAAUGGUAGGAGAGCGUUCUAAGGGCGUUGAAGCAUGAUCGUAAGGACAUGUGGAGCGCUUAGAAGUGAGAAUGCCGGUGUGAGUAGCGAAAGACGGGUGAGAAUCCCGUCCACCGAUUGACUAAGGUUUCCAGAGGAAGGCUCGUCCGCUCUGGGUUAGUCGGGUCCUAAGCUGAGGCCGACAGGCGUAGGCGAUGGAUAACAGGUUGAUAUUCCUGUACCACCUAUAAUCGUUUUAAUCGAUGGGGGGACGCAGUAGGAUAGGCGAAGCGUGCGAUUGGAUUGCACGUCUAAGCAGUAAGGCUGAGUAUUAGGCAAAUCCGGUACUCGUUAAGGCUGAGC
rnacentral:rRNA from 1 species